rnacentral:rRNA from 1 species
UACGUAGGUCCUGAGCGUUGUCCGGAUUUAUUGGGCGUAAAGCGAGCGCAGGCGGUUAGAUAAGUCUGAAGUUAAAGGCUGUGGCGUAACCAUAGUACGCUUUGGAAACUGUUUAACUUGAGUGCAAGAGGGGAGAGUGGAAUUCCAUGUGUAGCGGUGAAAUGCGUAGAUAUAUGGAGGAACACCGGUGGCGAAAGCGGCUCUCUGGCUUGUAACUGACGCUGAGGAUCGAAAGCGUGGGAGCAAACAGG